CAAACUUAUCCAUGGGAAAGACAUUAGUCCUUAUAAUAUGGAAAUAAAAUAUACAAAAGCUUCAAUGAUAAAGAAAAAAAAGCUACUGCACUAUUUGAAACACUUGAAACAACUGAGGCUCCUUGUCUGUUAAAAUACAAUAUAAAAAAUACAAAGUUAAUAAUGACUUUUAUGAUGAGUAUAUGAUAAGCAAGAAGUAUGGCUAAAAUAUUUGAUGUGUUGAUGCAAUUAAUCAACUAACAUUUUCAAAAAUGAGUCUAAACAAAUGACUAAAUUGGUUUGUCAUUGGAGCCGAGAUCAUUUUUAAGUCUAUUGCAUCAUCCAGUUCAUCUAUUGGAAAAGCAUUAGUCUUGCUAAUGUAUUUGAAAUAAAAUAUAGCUAUGACAAGCUUCAAUGAUGCAGAUAGUGAAAAGAGAGUUACUGCACUAUUUUAAGUACAUUGCAUUAUCAAGUUUAUUCAUGACAAAAGCAAUAAUGGAGAUAAUAAAAAAACACUAACGUAGAAAAAGAUCCACUGCACUAUUUAAAAUAAUCGAGACAACUGAAACUGUUUUAGUGCUAAAAUAUAACAUGAAAAAUACCAAGUGAAUGAAGUUAAUGUUAAAAGUGUCAUAUAAUCCGUCGUUGGCUUUAGUUUGUGUUACCAAGUGUUUUAAAAAUUGAAUUACAUUGUUUAUAAACUAAAUGAUAAUUCAACGAUCAUGAAAUACUGGCACACUUGAAUCACCCAACAAAAUGCAUCAAGACUAUCUACAUGAUAUUAUGCUUCAACAAAAAUAAAUCCUUGAUAAUGAAAAAUCAUUGCUUAACUAUUGACAUUUUGCAUGUGCAAUUACACUAAAAAAAUGUCUAGUUUAAAUGAAAUCCAAGUGUUAUAAAGUACUUUGACACUAGUUGGUCUUACCAAGUGUUUUAAAAAUUAAGUAAAUUAUUUAUAAACUAUUUGAUAAUUCAACGAUUAUGUAAGACUUACUUGAACUAUCAAAAAAAUGCAUCA